rnacentral:rRNA from 1 species
GACGAACGCUGGCGGCGUGCUUAACACAUGCAAGUCGAACGGAGUGGCGAACGGGUGAGUAACACGUGGGUGAUCUGCCUUGCACUUCGGGAUAAGCUUGGGGAACUGGGUCUAAUACCGGAUAGUGCAAGAUGAGCUCGCGGCCUAUCAGCUUGUUGGUGGGGUAAUGGCCUACCAAGGCGUCGACGUGUAGCCGGCCUGAGAGGGUGUACGGCCACAUGGGGACUGAGAUACGGACCAGACUCGUAUGGGAGGCAGCAGGGGGGAAGAUUGUACAAUGGGCGGAAGCCUGAUGAAGCGACGCCGCGUGGGGGAGGAAGGUCUUCGGGGGGUAAACUCCUUUCGACAGGGACGCGGUACCUGCAGAAGAAGCACCGGCUAACUACGUGCCAGCAGCCGCGGUAAUAC